UUCCUCUAGCAAUAUCUAUUUGAGGUACAUCCUGCCCAGUGUAAUAUAAACGGCCGCGGUAUCCUGACCGUGCGAAGGUAGCAUAAUCAUUUGCCUCUUAAUUAGAGGCUUGUAUGAACGGACACACUAAACUUUUAUUUUAUUUGCUUUAUAAAUGAAAAUUAGCCUUUAGGUGAAGAGACCUAAAUAAGGUAGAAAGACAAGAAGACCCUAUUGAGCUUUAUUUUAAAAUAAAAAGAGAAAUUUUGUUGGGGCGACCAGGGAAUAAAAAAACCUUCCCUAAUUUAGACGGACACUCCAAUUAACUAAUCCUAAAGGAACGCAGAACAAGCUACCAUAGGGAUAACAGGCUAAUUUUUUCAGCGAGCUCAUAUCAAUGAAAAAGAUUGGCACCUCGAUGUUGGCUUGAAGAAUCUAUUAGGUGCAGCAGCCUAAAUCAGAUAGUUUGUUCAACUAUUAAAUCUUC
rnacentral:rRNA from 1 species